rnacentral:lncRNA from 1 species
UUUUCAUUGGUAUAAUUUUAGACGCGCAGAGCUCUAAGAGCAGUUAAAGAGUGUCAGGACAGCUCCCAUCUGGUUCAUUGCUGAUUUGCGCUUUGCUCCCUUUGCUUUUUCAUUUGUUUGCUCUUGUUUUCACUCUUAUUUUUACACAUUUGCAGAAUUAAUGAUGGCGUUCCUUGUGAGGAGUUGGAGCAUGGACAUAACACAUCUCAAUGCUUUUCUCGUCCAUUGACCUCUCCUUCUUGGCUUAUUUCCUGAAGGACACAGAGGAGCAGGGUACAAGACAUGCCGGGCUUCAGGAUGCCAGCCCAGCAGCUCUGCAUGGCAGCCAGACUUCAAGGGACCAGAGGAGACGCUGGCUUCCUCAAGACCUGCGCUGUGGAAUUAAGGUUACAUUCCUAGGAGCUGAAUAAACGAAGGACCAACACAUAUGUGAGAAGAGUCCAAAGUGGGUCACCCAGAGUGAGGAGCCCAUGCAGUGAUGAGCAACAUAGUUGUAUUUCAGAGUGAGUGAAGCACUGGCUGCUGGCUACUAUGAUUGGUUUGCAGUUCCACUU